rnacentral:tRNA from 1 species
GCUCAGCAUGGGCCAGCAGGCGGUGGGCUACACGGUGGAGGUCCAGUCGC